GCACCAAGAGAUAGCUCAGUCGGUUGAGCAUGAGACUCUUAAUCACAGGGUUAUGGGUUUGAGCCCCAUGUUGGGCA